rnacentral:rRNA from 1 species
AACGAACGCUGGCGGCAUGCCUAACACAUGCAAGUCGAACGAGACCUUCGGGUCUAGUGGCGCACGGGUGCGUAACGCGUGGGAACCUGCCCUUAGGUUCGGAAUAACUCCCCGAAAGGGGUGCCAAUACCGGAUAAUGUCUUCGGACCAAAGAUUUAUCGCCUUUGGAUGGGCCCGCGUUGGAUUAGCUAGUUGGUAGGGUAAAAGCCUACCAAGGCGACGAUCCAUAGCUGGUCUGAGAGGAUGAUCAGCCACACUGGGACUGAGACACGGCCCAGACUCCUACGGGAGGCAGCAGUGGGGAAUAUUGGACAAUGGGCGAAAGCCUGAUCCAGCAAUGCCGCGUGAGUGAUGAAGGCCUUAGGGUUGUAAAGCUCUUUUACCCGUGAUGAUAAUGACAGUACCGGAAGAAUAAGCUCCGGCUAACUCCGUG